GUUUCAUUUAGAAUCGUCCCAGUGAACAAGCACCGAACCAGCGUGCGUGAGUGCAGAGUUGGAUCGUGAGUCGUGCAUUGCAUGACGUGCAAUUUUGUGCUGUUCCUAUCAGAAUAAAGCUCCACGACUGGUGUUACAAGUUGGAGUUUGUGUCGGUUAUUGAUUGUACACAACGCAAGAAGAGUACUGUUACAGUGGUGCCGUGACCGUUCUUCUGGAUCAGAUCUUCCUUCGCUGGAUUUCCAUCUCAGAACUUCGCCGUGGUUGCCGUUGAAGAAUCAGAUAAGAAGGCAAUAUCGCAUUUCGCCAGAAGAGGGCCCUACUGCGACGUUUUACUAUCGAAAUGGAUGAUUUCUCUGGUUGAGACUUUCUCUACUUGUUUAUUUGCAAUUCUAACGUAUAUCUGAUAUAAGUAGGGUGAGUUUUACCAGUGUACUAGAUAUAGGUUAGAUUUUGACUUGAGGUAAAAAAUAAAUAUUUUGCC